rnacentral:lncRNA from 1 species
UCACUGAACAAAUGGUUUUGUUAUACAUAGCAAUGAUUUUUUUUAUUUACUUUUCUUUUCUGCUCAUCUGUCUACCCUCUACCACUUAAGUUAUCUCUUUUAUAAAAACCGGCAAAACAUAAGUUGUUAUAUUGUAAGACGCAAUAAUCCUCUUGCUUCACACCUAAGCUAAGUCUCGAUCUCAGCCAUAUCAGUUACUGCAGUUUAGUAAGACCCC